GUCUUUGACUGGUGCUUGAGGAGAGGGAGAGAGGGAGAGCGGGUGCUUGAGGAGCCGUGGUUGUGGUGGGCGCGGCGGCCGAAGGCCGCUCGAGGCUGCGGCGCGUCGUGCGGGGAUUCGGGGGUGUUAGGCGCGGAGGGAGGGGAGGAAGGUCUAAGAGGCAAGGGCCGGAGAUUGCAGGCGAGCGUUGGUUUGGGGGCACCGAUCCCAAAGCCCUACCCGAAGCGGCCGCGCAGAGGCCGCCGGGGUCUACGUCUACCUCGUGCGGUACCCUCAAGGGGUAGGUGGUGCCAGUGGCGGCAGUUCACGAAGAAGUGCCUCUACACUUCCUGCGGUUCCUGGACGUCGAUGAGUUCCAAAAUAGAACAGGGGUAGGAUAGGGGAGGGGAACGGCGGGGAAGAAGUAACCUACUGGUCUACGUGUUGGUGUAUACAAAAAACUAAGUCCGAGUAUCCCAGAUCUAAACUUACAUUUUGAUGGACUGAAAUGGUAAUUGUCUAACCUUCGUGCUAAUAGCGACGUUAAAAAAAUCAGUACCGUAUAAAAGAGAAUAUACACAAACAACUACUAAUUAGUAGUUUCCAAUAUGCGCACAAAGCAGGGUUCGUGUUCAGGAAGAAAGUAUAUAGGGAAAACAGUAUACAGAAGAACUACGUUUCUCCGAGUCGAACGAUGACUACCUAACGUCGAAUGGUUUAAACUAAACCAAACCAUGUUACCUACAAACCAUAACUACAACUUUCUUAUGAAGUGAAAGACAUUAAAGACUACAAGUCUAAUAUGGCUUACUUACGAUGGUCUAAGGUAUAAACAAGAUCUCUAUAAUAACUAGAAAAGUACGUGGUUAACAAGUUCAUCACAGAAAGACGAUUUUCGAAAUAUAACGGUACACACAGGAAAACAGGCAUGGAAAAAGGUCAUUAAAAGAGACAAUUGGAACCCGGUCGAGUAAACACACACGAAGUACAUAUACGAGUACGAAAACUACGACGACCUGAAACCUUACGUAGGCGUGUCAUUGAAAGACCCAUACGAACGUAAGUCCAACAGUAAUCAAUGCUCUACCAUGUAGUCACAGAGGUGAGAUCUCUACUUAUAUUAUGCGGUUUUGUGUCUUUAAUAAGGCAAGUUUCACUUACUGUGCCGCAUUUAGUUUGUACGCGACUCGGAUGAUUACGCUGAUGGUCAUGACAACGUGAUGAUCUUGGGUUACCGUACUACCACGUCGUUUAUACCAAAAAAUAAUCUAUCAAAAGACGUGACAUAUACACUACUUAAGUGUUUAAAUACUAAAACUCCAUGACCACUUCCAUCUAAGUUUACUCACUACGUUUAAGUCUUAACGUAUCCAUCACGGAUGAUGACUGAUUCCCAUGUACUCAACCUUCUUUCAGGUUCGUCUUCCUUGAGGACGUCUACGGGUCCGACGAUGACACGGAUAGAAUUCCCUCUGCUCUGCGACAACUCGACAAAAAGCCAUCUAAACUCGAUGGAUCUCAACUCGAUCCGUGGUCUGCUCGUCUUCGUGUUUGCAUCCUCCAUAGGUUGUUGCCGUUGGCGUUGCGGUAAGGUGAAUUUGGACCUCUGGUCUCUUUCCUACGCUCAAGAUCCUUUUAAAUGUAACUUUAAACAGUGUACGUUUGACCUCCUUCCCCGUUAUUCGUCUCUUAAGGGGAGUUCUACACUUGACGUAACUACGGGAGCCAUACACACAACGAUGACGACUUACUACGAGGGAACAGCAACAACGAUAUCAUGCUAAAUCAUGUCGAACAGACUUACCCAAUCUUCUCCCCAAUACUCUACAAAACAACCUCAAAUUUAUAAGAAAGUACAUAAUUUGACUAUUCAACACGUGAAAACGACGACAAUCUAUUUGACUGAUGAGACAUGACAACCUAUCGGUACCAUACACAAUCAAAAUAAAAUGGUGUUUUCAAAGAACCCUCAACCCUAUAGUCCACAUAAGUAAUGAAAAGGAUACUUAUAUAAGAUAAAACCACGUGACAUAUUGAUAGAUUAGAUAGAUAGGUUCAAAAGUUUCUUUAACUACCGCCGCCGAGCCGGCACAGCACCACUUACCGCUUCGAAGCUUUGACUUGUACUCUUUCCACAACUGCGCGCCGACCUUCUGCAUGUAUGAACUCCUUUAUACUAAGUAUUCCAAAGUAUAAUUCUUUUGACUAUUAGACUUGUAAAACAAAUAAGGACCUACUGAAAUAAGAGGUUAUACUUAUACAUUCUUUUCUAUACUGUAUGUAAACACAUUUAACUAUUACAUCCCAGUAGAGCUUUGAAAUAAUAAAAAAGUUCUAACUAAAUGAACCACCACAAUUGAAGGUAAAAGAGCUUUGUCCUGUACACAAGAUAAAGAUUUUUUUCUUCGAAGAGACAAUCGAUCGUAGGGGCUGCCAUGAAAAUCUGACCUACAUCUGAUCAUCCCAGUUAAUUUUUAACAACCGAUAUCUACUGAAAUUCAAAGAUCGAAAGUAUUUUACAUCUGCACAUGCAUGAGAUUGUCAUACAGCACCAACUACUACCAGGAUACAUGACCAACUUUAAUAGUACAACCUAUUAUAACG
rnacentral:rRNA from 1 species